UAAUAACAUGAUGAGCAAAAAAAGAAAGUCAUUACGCUUGAUAAGCAAACAAAUCAUCAAAAAUAAAAAAGCCGCCUGUCACCGCUACCUACAACGUACUGUAAUUACGACCUUGCUCGUAAUCUUUAUCGAUACCUAAUCCAGUCAUUAUUUAUUUUAAAUUCAGAGCAUAGCGAGAGGAGUGUAUUGGAUUUACUAUGAUUGUAUAUUAAUUUUUUUUCGUUUAUUCAUA